UUGUUGGUGAGGUAAAGGCUUACCAAGGCUUCGAUCAGUAGCUGGUCUGAGAGGACGACCAGCCACACUGGGACUGAGACACGGCCCAGACUCCUACGGGAGGCAGCAGUGGGGAAUUUUGGACAAUGGGGGAAACCCUGAUCCAGCCAUGCCGCGUGAGUGAAGAAGGCRUUCGUUGUAAAGCUCUUUCAGCCGGAACGAAACGGUUACGAUUAAUACCUGUAACUACUGACGGUACCGGAAGAAGAAGCACCGGCUAACUACGUGCCAGCAGCCGCGGUAAUACGUAGGGUGCGAGCGUUAAUCGGAAUUACUGGGCGUAAAGCGUGCGCAGGUGGUUUUGUAAGUCAGAUGUGAAAUCCCCGGGCUUAACCUGGGAACUGCGUUUGAAACUACAAGGCUAGAGUGUGGCAGAGGGGGGUGGAAUUCCGCGUGUAGCAGUGAAAUGCGUAGAGAUGUGGAGGAACACCGAUGGCGAAGGCAGCCCCCUGGGUCAACACUGACGCUCAGGCACGAAAGCAUGGGGAGCAAACAGGAUUAGAUACCCUGGUAGUCCACGCCCUAAACGAUGUCAACUAGUUGUCGGGUCUUAACGGGCUUGGUAACGUAGCUAACGCGUGAAGUUGACCGCCUGGGGAGUACGAUCGCAAGAUUAAAACUCAAAGGAAUUGACGGGGACCCGCACAAGCGGUGGAUUAUGUGGAUUAAUUCGAUGCAACGCGAAAAACCUUACCUACCCUUGACAUGUAUUGGAGCCCGCAGAGAUGUGGGCGUGCCCGAAAGGGAACGAUAACACAGGUGCUGCAUGGCUGUCGUCAGCUCGUGUCGUGAGGUGUUGGGUUAAGUCCCGCAACGAGCGCAACCCUUGUCAUUAAUUGCCAUCAUUUAGUUGGGCACUUUAAUGAGACCGCCGG
rnacentral:rRNA from 1 species